GGGCACUUGGCACAGUUGGUAGCGCGCACGCUUCGCAUCGUUUCGAGUGCGUGAGGUCGUGGGUUCAAUUCCCACAGUGUCCA